GAUGAACGCUGGCCGCGUGCCUAAUACAUGCAAGUCGAGCGAACAGACGAGGAGCUUGCUCCUCUGACGUUAGCGGCGGACGGGUGAGUAACACGUGGAUAACCUACCUAUAAGACUGGGAUACUUCGGGAAACCGGAGCUAAUACCGGAUAAUAUAUUGAACCGCAUGGUUCAAUAGUGAAAGACGGUUUUGCUGUCACUUAUAGAUGGAUCCGCGCCGCAUUAGCUAGUUGGUAAGGUAACGGCUUACCAAGGCGACGAUGCGUAGCCGACCUGAGAGGGUGAUCGGCCACACUGGAACUGAGACACGGUCCAGACUCCUACGGGAGGCAGCAGUAGGGAAUCUUCCGCAAUGGGCGAAAGCUUGACGGAGCAACGCCGCGUGAGUGAUGAAGGUCUUCGGAUCGUAAAACUCUGUUAUUAGGGAAGAACAAAUGUGUAAGUAACUAUGCACGUCUUGACGGUACCUAAUCAGAAAGCCACGGCUAACUACGUG
rnacentral:rRNA from 1 species